AUGCAAGUCGAGCGAACUGAUUAGAAGCUUGCUUCUAUGACGUUAGCGGCGGACGGGUGAGUAACACGUGGGCAACCUGCCUGUAAGACUGGGAUAACUUCGGGAAACCGAAGCUAAUACCGGAUAGGAUCUUCUCCUUCAUGGGAGAUGAUUGAAAGAUGGUUUCGGCUAUCACUUACAGAUGGGCCCGCGGUGCAUUAGCUAGUUGGUGAGGUAACGGCUCACCAAGGCAACGAUGCAUAGCCGACCUGAGAGGGUGAUCGGCCACACUGGGACUGAGACACGGCCCAGACUCCUACGGGAGGCAGCAGUAGGGAAUCUUCCGCAAUGGACGAAAGUCUGACGGAGCAACGCCGCGUGAGUGAUGAAGGCUUUCGGGUCGUAAAACUCUGUUGUUAGGGAAGAACAAGUACAAGAGUAACUGCUUGUACCUUGACGGUACCUAACCAGAAAGCCACGGCUAACUACGUGCCAGCAGCCGCGGUAAUACGUAGGUGGCAAGCGUUAUCCGGAAUUAUUGGGCGUAAAGCGCGCGCAGGCGGUUUCUUAAGUCUGAUGUGAAAGCCCACGGCUCAACCGUGGAGGGUCAUUGGAAACUGGGGAACUUGAGUGCAGAAGAGAAAAGCGGAAUUCCACGUGUAGCGGUGAAAUGCGUAGAGAUGUGGAGGAACACCAGUGGCGAAGGCGGCUUUUUGGUCUGUAACUGACGCUGAGGCGC
rnacentral:rRNA from 2 species